rnacentral:rRNA from 1 species
UGGGGAAUAUUGCACAAUGGGGGGAAACCCGUGAUGCAGCGACGCCGCGUGAAGGAAGAAGUAUCUCGGUAUGUAAACUUCUAUCAGCAGGGAAGAUAGUGACGGUACCUGACUAAGAAGCCCCGGCUAACUACGUGCCU